UUUCCAAAGCGACACAUGACAGAGUAAAAUAAAGUCUUUUAAGAGAAAGAUGGUCCACGCUGAUCAUCUGAAAUAGACUAUACAUUUAAAACGAAGCAGUGUAUUUGUCUGUUUUUAAAAAUCACACGGUC